rnacentral:rRNA from 1 species
UACGAAGGGGGCUAGCGUUGCUCGGAAUCACUGGGCGUAAAGCGCACGUAGGCGGAUUUUUAAGUCAGGGGUGAAAUCCUGGAGCUCAACUCCAGAACUGCCUUUGAUACUGGAAAUCUCGAGUCCGGAAGAGGUGAGUGGAACUGCGAGUGUAGAGGUGAAAUUCGUAGAUAUUCGCAAGAACACCAGUGGCGAAGGCGGCUCACUGGUCCGGUACUGACGCUGAGGUGCGAAAGCGUGGGGAGCAAACAGG